UUUGGCUUAUUCUUUAAGCUUUAUUUCUUUCUGAAGCUGAUUGACCAUAUGAUACUAUAUAAGAAUAUACUCAAAAGAAAAAAAUAAACCCUACUAAAGCAUCUUAGAAAAUAAAAGAUGCCAUUUUAUUGAUCUCAAAACAAAGACAAAAGAUUCUCGUUGAUUAACAUAGUCAGGCAACAUGAUGGAACAUUUUCUUGUUCAUUCAAAAAGUUGGAUUACAAUAUUUAUUUUAAAUUUUUCUAUAAAUGUUUUCAUUGAAUAUAAUUUGUGUAUACAAUGUAACUAAAGAAAACUAAUAUUUAGGCUGCUGCUGGAUAAUUUCUUCCUUAAGCAAGCAAAAUAACUUAACACACCACUUUCACACACAAGUCACUAUAGCAUUUAACAAGUUAAUGUAGACUGUUUGAAGUAACACUUUCAACAUUUUAACAUUUAGGUCACAAUGAAAUAGUCACUGACAGAUGAAGAUACUAGAUGAUGACCAAGAAGUCAGAAGAAAGUCCUCAUGACAUUACAAGACAACCAAUACUAAUUUACGUAAGAUGAUAUACAUGUUUGGACAUAAGGGUUGCUUUUGCAGCCAUCAAACCCUCAAUUUUGCAAAAAUAUACAGCCAGCCUAAUCUACAUUUGAGAAUGAACAUCAUUAACUUAACAAUAGCAAUAACAAUUAAAGUCAUCAUCUGUGUUCAGGAACAUAGAAACUAAUUACCGGUACUGUUGUAACAACUGACGCCGAAAGAUGUUUCUAUGAAUGUAACAUAAGUUAAUUUACACAUAAAGCCCAACUCGGAUAGGCUUUAGGCAUAUAACCAUAAGAAAAGUUUGAUUUCAUCAGACAAUUUUGACUAUGAAGGAAAAACAAGAAAGAAUGAAAUCAACUUGUGGUAAACUAAAAAAAAAAGUAUUUAAUGCUAGCAUCAAUAAAUUUAUCUGUAACGCACCAGAAAUAGCAUUUAAGAAUACUUUGCGUUUACAGUAAAAUUAACAAGCACGAUAUAUACAGAAUAUCUAAAAAAAAAUAUGACGAUUUUAUCAGUGUGUUACAGAAAAUUGAAGAAUGCAAAUCUAUAUUUUUGUUUU